GAUCUUCCAUGAUUAGUUAGUAGUUAGGCAUCCUCAGUCUGCCCAGAACUUUCGUUGUGGAAGGAUGUGCGGGAGUGAUGUGCGAUUUCUUGUGUUCCCUACUUUCCUUGUUUACGUUUUGCGCAGUGUUGCUUCUUCUUCCAUUGUGGAAUGAUUUAUCCUAGCUAACUUGUUGAGUUACAGGUGCAUGCGCCAUUCAUCAACGCCUACCUGUUGGCAUCAUCAACAAUCUUCAAAGUGGGUGACAGAAAGAAAUUGUUUUCCAGUUUUAAAAUAUUAAGGUAAGUGUUGCUCUCAUCAUAUACGUAAAACUAUCCAAAGUAAUACGUACUACAUGCAUUAAUUAUUGGUUCAUUUUUAUUGACAGCGUUCAGCACAACUCAGCCACAAAACAACGCACUGGAUUACGCUAAGAACCUGUCGAAACGCGCGCAGCUCCCGGGAGCGGUAGGAGAAAGGAAGAACGAGAGGAGGAAAAACUAAAGCCAGCGCGCCGCUCUGAUGGUACCCCGUACGCGGUAAGAAGAAAAAAGAUCGAGAGGAGAAAGAACGGUAAAUUUGGAAGGGGGAGACCGUUCUGCCGUCUCCACAGUGUGAGUAUGCCAAAGCACGUGUUGGAAGGGAGAGAAAAAGUGUGGAAUAAACCGCAUGCGAAUGUGUGCAUACAGCAAAAGUAAA